CCAGCAAGAGAGGCUUGGCCAGCUGUCUCCGGUGUGCCUAUUGAAGUGGUAAGUAAUAGUGAAGAGAAGAAAAAGGAGAUUAUUCAAUGUGGCCACCCUGGAAAAAUAAUAAGGGAAUCCAGUAACCCCAAGUAAGGAGACUGCAAGACCUGGGAGAAUGGAGCCAAUAAAUGAGGCAGACUGAAGUCUCAUGCAAUUUGCAUCUUUAUCCAGAGCGUCAGACAAUUUCUGAAGGCAGCAGAAUCUGGAAGAAGAGAACUUAUAAAGUCACCCGGCAGAGAUGCUGCUUUGCUGUGCCAGCCUGGAUGCCUGUAGUAACAGUUGCAGUAGGAACACCUCACCUGGAAGUCUUCCUGUCAACAUUAGUGUGCCCUAGGAACCCAUACUCUCUUGUUCUUUACCAAGUUCUGGAUAGCCAGUAAGUGUAUUUAGAGUUACUUGGUGGUGGUGAUUUACCAUAAUCUGAAAGUGCAGUGGAAGAGGAAGGAGAAGUUGAAAACUUACAUGUACUUGGUGUCAAACAUUAUCUUAGGGACUUAACAUGUGACAUAGAUUGUAGACAUCCAUCUAAGAAAGAUCCUGGUAUCUUAGACAACAUCAGUGCUCUAUAAGCAUAGAAGUUCCAUGCAUAGAAUGAAGCAUGAACAAGCAUGCCCCACCCCACUGUAAUAGUGUCAUUGGCCCAUCAUAAAGGAUGAGAGCACCAUCAUUGUUGUGCCACAAUACACACAUGCUUAUUCCCACACAAUACACACAUACAUGUACCCAUAUUCAUACAUUUAAAAUCGUGUAUGUGUCUACACAUAUGCAUGCACACACACAUAUACACACAUAGAAAUGCAUUUUGAAAUUAAAUUAGAUGUACAAUAAAUUAGCAUAACAGGAAGUUAAAAAGAAACAACCUUUGUGGGGUUGGUAUGCAUGUUGUGUGAAGAUCUAUGAGUAUAGUUAUGUGCAUGUUUUUAUAAGUAUCUAUAUGGUAUACAUAAUGUAUACAAACAUAACUGCAUACACAUGUAUAUAUAUAAAUAAAAAAAAAUUGAAAUCUCAACUCCCAGACACCAACCAAGGAGGCAGCACAACUUUCCAAGUAGAGUGGCCAGCUUGCUGUGUUAGCUCUUUUCUGCCUACAACUCUGAGUGCCUGUUAUGUGUUUUGAAAUGUGGUGAUAUUUUAUUUGUGCUGAAAUGUGGUGAUAUUUUAUUUGUAUGUUAAUAAAUAAAGUUUGCCUGGAAAUCAGAGGAAAUAGCAAGCCAUUAAGUAAACACAAAAGUCAGGCAGUGGUAGCACAUGCCCUUAAUCUGAUCACUUGGCAGGCAGGUUCUCUGUAUGUGUGUGUUCAAGGUCACACUUGGAAUAGAGCCAAACUUGGUGACACAUGCCUUUAAUCCCUGAAGGUCUGUACAGACAGGCAGUAACAAAGAAGUGAGGUAGCUGGGCUAAGAGCCAAUGAGAGGUCAGAACAGCAA